AUUGAACGCUGGCGGCAUGCCUUACACAUGCAAGUCGAACGGCAGCAUAGGAGCUUGCUCCUGAUGGCGAGUGGCGAACGGGUGAGUAAUAUAUCGGAACGUGCCCUAGAGUGGGGGAUAACUAGUCGAAAGACUAGCUAAUACCGCAUACGAUCUACGGAUGAAAGUGGGGGAUCGCAAGACCUCAUGCUCUUGGAGCGGCCGAUAUCUGAUUAGCUAGUUGGUGGGGUAAAAGCCUACCAAGGCGACGAUCAGUAGCUGGUCUGAGAGGACGACCAGCCACACUGGGACUGAGACACGGCCCAGACUCCUACGGGAGGCAGCAGUGGGGAAUUUUGGACAAUGGGGGCAACCCUGAUCCAGCAAUGCCGCGUGAGUGAAGAAGGCCUUCGGGUUGUAAAGCUCUUUUGUCUGGGAAGAAACGGUAGUAGCUAAUAUCUAUUACUAAUGACGGUACCUGAAGAAUAAGCACCGGCUAACUACGUGCCAGCCGCCGCUGUAA
rnacentral:rRNA from 1 species